UACGAAGGGGGCUAGCGUUGCUCGGAAUCACUGGGCGUAAAGCGCACGUAGGCGGAUUGCUAAGUCAGGGGUGAAAUCCUGGAGCUCAACCUCGGAACUGCCUUCGAUACUGCGGGUCUCGAGUCCGGGAGAGGUGAGUGGAAUUCCUGGUGUAGCGGUGAAAUGCGCAGAUAUCAGGAAGAACACCAAUGGCGAAGGCAGCUCUCUGGGACGGUACUGACGCUGAGACGCGAAGGCCA
rnacentral:rRNA from 1 species